UACGAAGGGGGCUAGCGUUGUUCGGAUUUACUGGGCGUAAAGCGCACGUAGGCGGAUCGUUAAGUCGGGGGUGAAAUCCUGGAGCUCAACUCCAGAACUGCCUUCGAUACUGGCGAUCUUGAGUCCGGAAGAGGUGAGUGGAACUCCUAGUGUAGAGGUGGAAUUCGUAGAUAUUAGGAAGAACACCAGUGGCGAAGGCGGCUCACUGGUCCGGUACUGACGCUGGAGGUGACGAAAGCUAGGGGGAGCAAACAGG
rnacentral:rRNA from 1 species